UGAAUCCAGUUACGGUGGCCACUAAGGCCU
rnacentral:sRNA from 1 species